rnacentral:rRNA from 1 species
GUAGGUGGCAAGCGUUGUCCGGAAUUAUUGGGCGUAAAGCGCGCGCAGGCGGUCCUUUAAGUCUGAUGUGAAAGCCCACGGCUCAACCGUGGAGGGUCAUUGGAGACUGGGGGACUUGAGUACAGAAGAGGAAAGCGGAAUUCCAAGUGUAGCGGUGAAAUGCGUAGAGAUUUGGAGGAACACCAGUGGCGAAGGCGGCUUUCUGGUCUGUAACUGACGCUGAGGCGCGAAAGCGUGGGGAGCAAACAGGGAUUAGAUACCCUGGUAGUCCACGCCGUAAACGAUGAGUGCUAAGUGUUAGGGGGGUUUCCGCCCCCUUAGUGCUGCAGCUAACGCAUUAAGCACUCCGCCUGGGGAUACGGCCGCAAGGCUG